rnacentral:misc_RNA from 1 species
AACUUUCGGCAAUGGAUCUCUUGGUUCUGGCAUCGAUGAAGAACGCAGCGAAUUGCGAUAAGUAAUGUGAAUUGCAGAAUUCAGUGAAUCAUCGAAUCUUUGAACGCACCUUGCGCCCCCUGGUUUUCCGGGGAGCACGCCUGUUCGGAUUUCGCGAAAUUCCUCAACCUUGGUUGGCCUUUUUGUCUGUCCUUAGCCUUGCUUGUGGGGCUUUGCGUUGUCCUAUGUUGGGCCGGCUGGCCGUAAAAGCAUUAGCUGAUCCUCGUGUGGCACUGGUUCUGCUCAGCGUGAUAACAUUCUGAUCGCUGAGGACAUCUUUUGGGAUGGCCAGUUCUCAUUUGGGUUGCUUCCGAACUUGGUUUUGCAGAUUCUUCAAUCUGUGUUCCACUUUUCAGCUUUGACCUCGAAUCAGGUGGGACUACCCGCUGAACUUAAGCAUAUCAAUAAGCGGAGGCU